rnacentral:rRNA from 1 species
UGGGAAUAUUGCACAAUGGGCGAAAGCCUGAUGCAGCGACGCCGCGUGAGUGAAGAAGGCCUUCGGGUCGUAAAACUCUGUCCUUGGUGAAGAAAAAAAUGACGGUAGCCAAGGAGGAAGCCCCGGCUAACUACGUGCCAGCAGCCGCGGUAAUACGUAGGGGGCGAGCGUUGUCCGGAUUUACUGGGCGUAAAGGGUGAGUAGGCGGUUGUAUAAGUCAGAUGUAAAAGGCACAGGCUUAACUUGUGUAAGCAUUUGAAACUGUACGACUUGAGUGCAGGAGAGGUAAGUGGAAUUCCUAGUGUAGCGGUGAAAUGCGUAGAUAUUAGGAGGAACACCAGUGGCGAAGGCGACUUACUGGACUGUAACUGACGCUGAGUCACGAAAGCGUGGGUAGCAAACA